rnacentral:rRNA from 1 species
GACGAACGCUGGCGGCGUGCUUAACACAUGCAAGUCAAACGGGGUUUGCCAAGGAGCAAUCCGAGGCAGGCCCAGUGGCGGACGGGUGCGUAACGCGUGAACAAUCUGUCCCGGAAUGGGGGAUAACAACUGGAAACAGUUGCUAAUACCGCAUAGGACCACGAGGCCGCAUGGCCUUGAGGUGAAAGGAGCGAUCCGAUCCGGGGUGAGUUCGCGUCUGAUUAGCUAGUUGGUGAGGUAGAGGCCCACCAAGGCGACGAUCAGUAGCCGAUCUGAGAGGAUGACCGGCCACACUGGAACUGAGAAACGGUCCAGACUCCUACGGGAGGCAGCAGUGGGGAAUAUUGGGCAAUGGGCGAAAGCCUGACCCAGCAACGCCGCGUGAGGGAAGAAGGCCUUCGGGUCGUAAACCUCUGUCGCAGGGGACGAUAAUGACGGUACCCUGUGAGGAAGCCCCGGCUAACUACGUGCCAGCAGCCGCGGUAAUACGUAGGGGGCAAGCGUUGUCCGGAAUGACUGGGCGUAAAGGGCGCGUAGGCGGCGCAGCAAGUUUGGAGUGAAAGUCCUGCUUUCAAGGUGGGAAUUGCUUUGAAAACUGCUGAGCUUGAGUGUGGGAGAGGAUAGCGGAAUUCCCGGUGUAGCGGUGAAAUGCGUAGAGAUCGGGAGGAACACCAGUGGCGAAGGCGGCUAUCUGGACCAAGACUGACGCUGAGGCGCGAAAGCGUGGGUAGCAAACAGGAUUAGAUACCCUGGUAGUCCACGCUGUAAACGAUGGAUGCUAGGUGUAGGAGGUAUCGACCCCUUCUGUGCCGGAGUAAACACAAUAAGCAUCCCGCCUGGGGAGUACGGCCGCAAGGUUG